rnacentral:tRNA from 1 species
AGGGGCUUAGUUCAGUUGGCAGAACAGCGGACUUUGAUUCCGCAUGUCGGUGGUUCGAAUCCAUCAGCCCCUGC